UACGUAGGGGGCUAGCGUUGUCCGGAAUCAUUGGGCGUAAAGAGCGCGUAGGCGGUCCGAUAAGUCGGCUGUGAAAGUCAAGGGCUCAACCCUUGGAAGCCGGCCGAUACUGUCGGACUAGAGUCCGGAAGAGGCGAGUGGAAUUCCCGGUGUAGCGGUGAAAUGCGCAGAUAUCAGGAGGAACACCGGUGGCGAAGGCGGGUCUCUGGGCCGUAACUGACGCUGAGGAGCGAAAGCGUGGGGAGCGAACAGG
rnacentral:rRNA from 1 species